rnacentral:lncRNA from 1 species
AACAUCAACUGCCGGUAAGCCCUGUCCGGACUCCUACGGGAGCCAGACUUCACCUUUGACUUUAAUUGCAGGAAGCCUCCGCCCAGACUCCUACGGGAGCCGGGCUUCAUCCUCGACUCCAACGGCUGCAAGCAGACUUCGUCCGGACUCCUACGGGAGCCGGACUCCGCCGACAACUUCGAUCGCAAGUAGACUCCGCCCAGACUCCUACGAGAGUCGGGCUCCAUCCUCAACAUCAACUGAUUUAUUUUAGUCUUUCGCUAUCUGAUCUUGAAAAAGUUUCAAGAUCUAACCCUGAAACCCU